AGUGAACGCUGGCGGUAGGCCUAACACAUGCAAGUCGAACGGCAGCACAGUAAGAGCUUGCUCUUACGGGUGGCGAGUGGCGGACGGGAGAGGAAUACAUCGGAAUCUACUUUUUCGUGGGGGAUAACGUAGGGGAACUUACGCUAAUACCGCAUACGACCUACGGGGGAAAGCAGUGGAUCUUCGGACCUUGCGCGAUUGAAUGAGCCGAUGUCGGAUUAGCUAGUUGGCGGGGUAAAGGCCCACCAAGGCGACGAUCCGUAGCUGGUCUGAGAGGAUGGUCAGCCACCCUGGAACUGAGACACGGUCCAGACUCCUACGGGACGCAGCAGUGGCGAAUGUUAGACAAUGGGCGGAAGUCUGAUCCAGCCAUACGGCGUCGGAGAAGAAGGCGUUCGGGUCGUAAAGCCCUUUUGUGGGGAAAAAAAAGCAGCAGGUUUAGACGCAGCUGGUCUGACGGUACCCAAAGAAUAAGCACCGGCUAACUUCGUG
rnacentral:rRNA from 1 species